UACGUAGGGUGCGAGCGUUAAUCGGAAUUACUGGGCGUAAAGGGUGCGCAGGCGGUCCCGCAAGUCAGGCGUGAAAUCCCCGGGCUUAACCUGGGAAUGGCACUUGAAACUACGGGACUAGAGUGUGGCAGAGGGAGGUGGAAUUCCACGUGUAGCGGUGAAAUGCGUAGAUAUGUGGAGGAACACCAAUGGCGAAGGCAGCCUCCUGGGUCAACACUGACGCUCAUGCACGAAAGCGUGGGGAGCAAAC
rnacentral:rRNA from 1 species